GCCCGUGCAUAGCAACGAAGACCCAACACAGCCAAAAUAAAUAAUUUAUUUAUUUAUCUUUUUUUUUUUUAAAAAAAGAAGACCUGAAAAGAGCUGCUUAUAUUUAAAUGCAUUGCAGGAAGGGGAAUUUUUAACAGUCAGCCUUUCUUACUAGUGUUAUUUUCGCCUUGCUUUCAUAAGACUGUCGUCCAAAUGCAUACUUUGACAAAGCCAAGGCAUAAAAAAAAGAGACCCAUCAGUCCAAAAUUGUCUAAUUCCCAUGGCUACAAUCUACUUGUAUGUGAGCUCAGAAAAUCCUAGCGUGGACUAAAAUAUCAUUUCUAGCAUGACACUUUAUUUCAACAGGAAUAUUUAUAAGUUAGGGAAAUCCAGGAAGCUCUAUGAACUUAAGAUCAUCAACCCCUUCAAGUACCCCUGGGGUACACAUACUCCAUGUUAAAGGCCACUGUUCUAACUUAGCAAGUCAAGUCAACCAGAAUCUUGUUUGCAUUGAAGCAUUAGACCUUCUGGGCAUAACUUAGUAUGGUACCUCAGGUCAGAGGGUUGGACUCCCAGACCUCAGAUCCAAGACAGAGGCUGGGCUCCCCUCCCUGGGCCUGCCUCCACCCAAGAGUUCCCAAUGUCAAGGAGAGGACCUGAGAGCAACCUCCUGCCUCUUCUGGUCAUGAGCCCAGAUCACAGAAGAGGAAAUUUCUGAGUGCAGCAUCAGUGGGGUCCUUGUGGUUCUCUGCGACCAUGUCCCCAUGGAACUCUUAAUAUACUGUUAACCGGAGAGACCCCAGAACCGACCAAGCCCAUCCACUUUAUGCAGUGUAAGGCAGACCUGCAAUCACCAAGAAGAAAAAGUUCUCCUUCAAUAUCCAGCUGGCAGCAGUAGGAGAAGCAGUGAAGAGAAAUGUGAGACACAAAGAUCAAGUUUGGGGUCAGGGAGGGCUUAAAUUCUUUGUAACUACAUGGUUGAAACUCUGAGCCAAUAAUUGUUAAUGUCGUCAAAUUCUCGAUAUGUACAUUACAUUAACUUGGGGAAAAGAGAUUAUACUUGUGUUUACCAUUUGUGCCCUGGACACAGUAUAUUGGUAGGGAAAGGUGGCCCUAUUUGAUGGAAAGAGAUAUUUUUCCAUGUUUUGAUUUUAUUAUUUAUGAUCAAAUAUAGUCAUACAACCAAUAUGAGAAUUUAUUUUGCUUAUGUAUUAAAGGCCCUUGAAAAUGUUUGUCAAAACAUCUGUAAUUUGAUGUUUUAAACUGGUAAUAAUGCAUUUCAAUAGUAUAUAUAUAUAGAAUCUAUAUUGCUAUUCCUACUUUAAUUACCGAUGUCCCAAAUGUUUCUAAUACUAACUUAAUAGGUGCACUCUUUAAUUAUCAAUGGCCCCCAGAUGCCCAGAGUCUCUGCAACCAUCCAGCCCCUCCAGGACUGGGACAGAUGUUGGAAAGACACCAGAAAGGAUGCAGAUAAAAUAAAUUCAUACAAAAAGCCACAUGAGGGCCAGGCUGCAGGUACAGAUUCUCAGGGCUUUGUCUGCUUAGUGUGCUUUGGGGUAACUAAGUGCUGGGUGUGGCCCCAUGAGGCCCAAACAGAGGGACUUUGCUAACUGUGUGGAGGCAGCCUGCAUGCAUCACAGCAAGAACUGAGUCUAGACGUGCAGCGCUCCCUGCCUGGAAUCUGUGAGUCACCCGGCUGCUUUCCCGAGGAAGAGAAUGUCUGUCCCGGCCAGCUCUGCCCUCCCCCGGGCUGCUCCAGGGGAGCCCCUCAGCCCCAUCUGGGGGCAAGGCUGAGGGACUGAGAGCAGGGAAGAGUCUGCAGGGCUAUCCAGGGUGGACUGUCACCCCAGAACUGAUCUGUGCCCAUAGCCUCCUUCUCCUCUGGGCCCCUCAGUCCUGGUCAGAGGGUCCCCGCAUCGCGGGUGCGGCCACCUUGCCCUCACCCAGAUCCCACGUCCCCUUCAGUACCUAUUUUGCAGACUCGUCCUUAGAAGUACAAAAUCUUCCUUCAGCACCUGUGCAUCAGGGCAGAAACUGUAUUUCAUGUCAUUCUUGCCCUUGUUCCCAUGUUUGCUCCUGAUGCAACAGGGCCUUGCUAAGUCCAACUGCAUCUCAGCAGAGUUUCUCUUUCAGUGUCAGAGAGGAGCGUGUGGUAUCGACAACCUGUUUAUUGCCUCCAAUCUUUGAUUUUCUCAUCAGAGGCCCCCAGCUGGCUCCCCACAUCUGAAGGCAGCCAACAGAAAUCAAAGGGAUCCUGUGCUCACUUUACGAGAAAGGAAUUCUGUCCACGCCGGCCACGUUCACCCAAACUGACCCACAUAGACCCAGCUAAAGAUUUGUCAGGGCUUGGGGAGGAAACGAAAUGAAGUUCAAUGGAAUCAAAGUAGCCUGAGUGGUGUGAAGUGAGCUGAUGUCAGCAGUGGUUCCCCACGCAGCUUGCGACCGUCUCCCAUAGCACAUCUCCUUGGACUGGCGGGACAGGCACAAGAAGGAGCAAUGGGGUUAAGUGGACAAGAAGGAAUGGUGGUUAAGCGCCUAAGGUAACAGAUUGGAGUCAUCUUGAAUCACAGAUGACCAGCGGUGAAGACCACCUGGUACAAUGAUGGUCCCUCUUGUUAAGGAAGAAGCAGUGAAAAACUGUGAAAGAGCAUAUGAAUCUAGUCUACUCAAGUUUGGAGGAGGGGAUGAAGAUUCUUUCCAGAAGCUCCAACCUUGACGAGAGAGUAGGAAAUACGUCUCCGCUUUGACAGGAACAAUGUGUGACAUGAAAGACCUCAGAUGCUGUGCAGGUUUGUGACGGUUCUUCAGAAGAAAGCAUCCCCUGCCUGUUCUGUUCAAUGCCAGUCCAGAUGAAGACACUGAGGCACAGGGAGGUGAAACAGUGUCCCACAUUCGUUAACUCACGGGAGGUGAGGCUGGGCCACCAACCCGGGCAACCUGGCUCCAGACUCCAAGCUCUUCACGGCCACCUGGCUGUGCCCCUCGGUGCUGCCCACUUCUCGAGCAGGGCCUGACCCAUCCGUAGAAUACAGAUCAUGCCAACCUUGCAGCCUUGCUCUGAGGACCAGAUACAAUGCCUCUCACUGCUGUGGCCUCUCCCGUUGCGGAGCACAGG